CCUACGGUGGGCUGCAGUGAGGAAUGUUGGUCAAUGGUCGGGAGACUGAACCAGCCAAGCCGCGUGAGGGAUGAAGGUACAGAGUAUCGUAAACCUCUUUUGUCAGGGAACAAAGGCGGGGACGUGUCCCCGGAUGAGUGUACCUGAAGAAAAAGCAUCGGCUAACUCCGUGCCAGCAGCCGCGGUAAUACGGAGGAUGCGAGCGUUAUCCGGAUUUACUGGGUGUAAAGGGCGUGUAGGCGGGAAAGCAAGUCAGAUGUGAAAACCAUGGGCUCAACCUGUGGCCUGCAUUUGAAACUGUUGUGCUUGAGUACUGGAGAGGCAGACGGAAUUCCUAGUGUAGCGGUGAAAUGCGUAGAUAUUAGGAGGAACACCAGUGGCGAAGGCGGUCUGCUGGACAGCAACUGACGCUGAGGCGCGAAAGCGUGGGGAGCAAACAGGAUUAGAUACCCUAGUAGUC
rnacentral:rRNA from 1 species